AUGGAGCCAUUCGUGUGCCUGAUCGAAUCCUAUUGGAUGGUCUGAUUCUGUUGGACCCUCUGCUCCUACUGGCGUACUCCUCACUACUCCACUGAUCGCAGAGAGCCUCCCAUAUGUCUGCCCACAUCCAGUGAUUCCUGUAGGACUUCCAAUCCAAUGGUGACUGAAAAUCAAAAUGCUUGAUGGCAAACUAUCGUAGGCUGUGUAGCCCAUCUUGAAACCUAUAUGUAGCCCCCUGCUUGA
rnacentral:lncRNA from 1 species